rnacentral:rRNA from 1 species
CGGGUGGUAAUGCCGGAUGUUCCACAUGAUCGCAUGUGAUUGUGGGAAAGAUUCUAUCGGCGUGGGAUGGGGUCGCGUCCUAUCAGCUUGUUGGUGAGGUAACGGCUCACCAAGGCUUCGACGGGUAGCCGGCCUGAGAGGGCGACCGGCCACAUUGGGACUGAGAUACGGCCCAGACUCCUACGGGAGGCAGCAGUGGGGAAUAUUGCACAAUGGGCGCAAGCCUGAUGCAGCGACGCCGCGUGAGGGAUGGAGGCCUUCGGGUUGUAAACCUCUUUUGUUUGGGAGCAAGCCUUCGGGUGAGUGUACCUUUCGAAUAAGCGCCGGCUAACUACGUGCCAGCAGCCGCGGUAAUACGUAGGGCGCAAGCGUUAUCCGGAUUUAUUGGGCGUAAAGGGCUCGUAGGCGGCUCGUCGCGUCCGGUGUGAAAGUCCAUCGCUUAACGGUGGAUCUGCGCCGGGUACGGGCGGGCUGGAGUGCGGUAGGGGAGACUGGAAUUCCCGGUGUAACGGUGGAAUGUGUAGAUAUCGGAAAAGAAACACCA